rnacentral:rRNA from 1 species
AGAGUUUGAUCCUGGCUCAGGAUGAACGCUGGCGGCGUGCCUAACACAUGCAAGUCGAACGGAUGCUUUCGGGCAUUAGUGGCGCACGGGUGAGUAACACGUGGUUGAUCUACCCCAAAGUAGGGGAUAACGUUCCGAAAGGAAUGCUAAUACCCUAUAAGCUCCCGGCUUUUAGAAUGUUGGGAGAAAAGUUCCGGCGCUUUGGGAGGAGACUGCGAACCAUCAGCUAGUUGGUGCGGUAAUGGCGCACCAAGGCGACGACGGUUAGGGGACCUGAGAGGGUGGCCCCCCACACUGGAACUGAGACACGGUCCAGACUCCUACGGGAGGCAGCAGUGAGGAAUAUUGCACAAUGGGCGCAAGCCUGAUGCAGCGACGCCGCGUGGGUGAUGAAGGCUUUCGGGUCGUAAAGCCCUUUUCUAGGUGACGAGGAAGGACGGUAGCCUAGGAAUAAGUGUCGGCUAACUACGUGCCAGCAGCCGCGGUAAAACGUAGGACACAAGCGUUAUCCGGAGUUACUGGGCGUAAAGGGCGUGUAGGCGGACGUGUAAGUCUAUUCUGAAAGCUCCUGGCUAAACUGGGAGAGGCGAAUGGAGACUGCAUAUCUAGAGUGAGGAAGAGGAAAGUGGAAUUCCGCGUGUAGUGGUGAAAUGCGUAGAGAUGCGGAGGAACACCAGUGGCGAAAGCGACUUUCUGGUCCUUAACUGACGCUGAGGCGCGAAAGCAUGGGGAGCGAACGGGAUUAGAAACCCCGGUAGUCCAUGCCAUAAACGAUGUUCACUAAACGUUCGUUUCCCGCGAGGGAAGUGGGUGUUGAAGCUAACGCAGUAAGUGGACCGCCUGGGGAGUACGGUCGCAAGGCUAAACUCAAAGGAAUUGACGGGGGACCGCACAAGCAGCGGAGCGUGUGGUUUAAUUCGAGGCUACACGAAGAACCUUACCUAGGUUUGACAUCUUACUGAAGGCCUCAUGAAAGUGGGGAGGUCCCGCAAGGGACAGUAGGACAGGUGCUGCAUGGCUGUCGUCAGCUCGUGCCGUGAGGUGUUCGGUUAAGUCCGCAAACGAGCGCAACCCUCGGUGCCAGUUACAAGUGUCUGGCGCGACUGCCCGUGGCAAACGGGAGGAAGGUGGGGAUGACGUCAAGUCAGCAUGGCCUUUAUAUCUAGGGCUACACAUACGCUACAAUGGCGCGUACAAUGGGCUGCGAACCCGCGAGGGGGAGCCAAUCCUAAAAAGCGCGUCUCAGUUCAGAUCGUAGGCUGCAACCCGCCUGCGUGAAGUUGGAGUUGCUAGUAACCGCGCGUCAGCAGAGUGCGGUGAAUACGUUCCCGGUCCUUGUACACACCGCCCGUCACGUCAUGAGAGCUGGUGACGCCUGAAGUCGGGAAGCUAACCGCAAGGAGGCUACUGCCGAAGGCAGCAUUGGUGAUUGGGACGAAGUCGUAACAAGGUA